AAAAAAUCUGCCUUCUGCUGUUUCAUUAUUUUUUGCAAAGAAUCCCAAAAAAAAUGAAAGGGGGUUCCCUUUUCUGCUCCAAGGUUCCAAGACUAGGAACCCCGCCGCCGACUUCGCCGCACCACCACUAUCGCCGGUGGCCGACGACAAGCGACCACGGGGAGGUAAGUUUCUCCUAUUUCUCUUUUCUUACAUUUUUUAUUUUUGAAUGCACAAGAAGAGAAAAAAAAGGUGAAAUAAAAUAUGCUGAAAUUAUAAUGCAAAAAACCAAAAGGAGAAUUCCUCUAAAAAUCGUUCUGCUUUUGGUAUAUCUUGUUCACAAAACAAUCGUCUGAUUGAGAUUGAUUCUUAAGAAAUAAAAAAGGAAUGAAUAAGUAAAUAAAUGGAGAUCUUGAGAAAUAAAAAAAUAAAUAAGUAAAUAAAUGGAGAGCAAGCAGUUUGAAGAUUAAAAUCCACCUUUCAAUAUUUCUUUGUUUUUUUUUUUGAUUUUCUAGUGUUCGUUCGUAAAAACCGAAGAAAAAGAUACAUGAGCAGUGCUUGGGGUUUUUAUAACCCGAUUACCAAUGCUUUUAUAUCUAUUUUGUUUUUUUACAUUAUUUUUUCUUUGUUGUUGCGUCUACUUGUUGGCUUUGCAGGUGCCCGUGGCCGACAGUGGUGGCAGAGGCGUGCGAGUGGAGGCGUGGCAGACGAGGAGGCCACGUAAGGCAUGCGGCGGCUAGCUAGGGUUUGCUGCUGAAAUUUUAAGUUUGUGGGCUGAUUACUUUAGGCUUAAGGUUUGGGUAGUUGGGAUUGAAUUUUGGGUUUGUUGUAUUUUAUUUUAUUUGGACAAUGGGCCCAGCAAAUUUGGGCUUCUACACAAGUAUUACGUGCAUAUCAUAACCAUUAACAUCCAAGAUGACACUUAUACAUAUCAAGCCUAUAUACAUGCCAAAAAAUCGAGUUUCGAACAAUUAAAAGUCUACCGAGACUAAAGCUGGAUAGUGUGAGCUCAAGGGUGAUUCGAUUGUCGAGUUCUACAAAACGUCAACUACAGAAACAGAAAACAAAACAGAGUAAGCAUUUACAUGCUUAGUAAGUUCACAGGUAUUUAAACAGUAAACUCACCUCAUUUUAUAAUUAGACAAACUGAAACAACUAGUUUAACUAAGUUCCUGUCACAAUAAUUCACAUUCACAAGGUGUGUAUUUCUUAUACAACUGUAUAGCUAUCAAUUCAUUCAAUACAAUUUAAUUUAGUACCAUUUCAU
rnacentral:lncRNA from 1 species